rnacentral:snRNA from 1 species
UCUCUACAGAGAAGAUUAGCAUGGCCCCUGUGCAAGGAUGACACGCAAAUUCGUGAAGCGUUCCUCUCUCUC